ensembl:lncRNA
GUCAACUAGAGGGUUCUGGCACCUUUAACUGGGAGCAUUCUAAGCCUGGCACUCAGCAUGUGUUUAAGUGUAUGAAGACCCUUAUUCUCACAUUGAAAGAAGGUCACUGACUUCGCUUUCCAAAAAUGAUUCUCUUCAUUGUUCUGACCUGAAGAUGGACAACGGGCUUUUCAGAAGAAACCCCUCCUUCACAGAGCUGAUUGGCUUCAAGAUCCUAACUGGGAAACUAGACUGCUGGUUGAUCACCAAAUCCUGGCCAGCUGUGGGAUCCCCACAUAUUCCUGUAAUGCUGAACCCCUUGGAAACAUCAGAAGAAGCCUGAUGUGGAGAAAAGGGAACCCUCCUGCACUGUUGGUGGGAAUGUAAACUGGUACAGCCACUAUGGAGAACAGUUUGGAGAUACCUUAGAAAUCUAUACAUAGAACUUCCAUAUGACCCUGCAAUCCCACUCUUGGGCAUCUAUCCGGACAAAGCUCUGCUUA